GGUCAGCUGAUCGCGCACUGAGGGUGCGAUCCCGGGCUCCCCAUUCCUUCCUGGGGCGCCUCCCCGGCCCAGGGCCAACUGGGUCCCGGUGUCGGCAGGCCUGGGGUCGGCGACGGCUGCUCUUUUCGUUCUGUCGCCUGCCCGAUGGACGAGCCUCCCGGGAAGCCCCUCAGCUGUGAGGAGAAGGAAAAGGUACUAGAGAUACCUGGACCAUUAACGGAUAAAUAGAAGAUUCAUUUGUUGAGUGACUGAGGAUGGCAGUUCCUGCUACCUUCAAGGAUCUGGAUGAUGGGGAGAAACAGAGAACAUAGUGUGAGAAUACUGUGUUAAAGGAGAAAUUAGCAUUCUUGAAAAGGGAAUACAGCAAGACACUAGCCCGCCUUCAGCGUGCCCAAAGAGCUGAAAAGAUUAAGCAUUCUAUUAAGAAAACAGUAGAAGAACAAGAUUGUUUGUCUCAGCAGGAUCUCUCACCGCAGCUAAAACACUCAGAACCUAAAAAUAAAAUAUGUGUUUAUGACAAGUUACACAUCAAAACCCAUCUUGAUGAAGAAACUGGAGAAAAGACAUCUAUCACACUUGAUGUUGGGCCUGAGUCCUUUAACCCUGGAGAUGGCCCAGGAGGAUUACCUAUACAAAGAACAGAUGACACCCAAGAACAUUUUCCCCACAGGGUCAGUGACCCUAGUGGUGAGCAAAAGCAGAAGCUGCCAAGCAGAAGAAAGAAGCAGCAGAAGAGGACAUUUAUUUCACAGGAGAGAGACUGUGUCUUUGGCACUGAUUCACUCAGAU
rnacentral:lncRNA from 1 species